CCCCUAAGGCGAGGCCGAAAGGCGUAGUCGAUGGGAAACAGGUUAAUAUUCCUGUACUUGGUGUUACUGCGAAGGGGGGACGGAGAAGGCUAUGUUAGCCGGGCGACGGUUGUCCCGGUUUAAGCAUAUAGGCUGGUUGUCCAGGCAAAUCCGGAUAAUCAAGGCUGAGGUGUGAUGACGAGGCACUACGGUGCUGAAGUAACAAAUGCCCUGCUUCCAGGAAAAGCCUCUAAGCAUCAGGUAACAUCAAAUCGU
rnacentral:rRNA from 1 species